CGUAGAAGACUAGUGUUAUUCAUCUUUAAUAGGUUUAAAGGGUACCUAGACGGUAAAAUUAGUCUAAAAUAUGAUACGGUUUUACUAGAGUUAUAUAUAAGGGAGGUGAGUAUUUAAGGAGUAGAGUUGAAAUUCAGUCAUACCUUAAGGACUGGUAAUGGCGAAAGCAACCUUUUAUCUAAUAACUGACGUUGAGGGACGAAGGCUCGGGGUAGCGAACAGGAUU
rnacentral:rRNA from 1 species